CCUACGGGAGGCUGCAGUAGGGAAUCUUCCACAAUGGACGAAAGUCUGAUGGAGCAACGCCGCGUGAGUGAAGAAGGUUUUCGGCUCGUAAAGCUCUGUUGGUAGUGAAGAAAGAUAGGGGUAGUAACUGGCCUUUAUUUGACGGUAAUUACUUAGAAAGUCCCGGCUAACUACGUGCCAGCAGCCGCGGUAAUACGGAGGUGGCAAGCGUUGUCCGGCUUUGUUGGGCGUAAAGGGAGUGCAGGCGGUUCAAUAAGUCUGAUGUGAAAGCUUUCGGCUCAACCGGAGAAUUGCAUCAGAAACUGGUGGACUUGAGUGCAGAAGAGGAGGGUGGAAAUCCAGGUGUAGCGGUGGAAUGCGUAGAUAUAUGGAAGAACACCAGUGGCGAAGGCGGCUCACUGGUCUGCAACUGACGCUGAGGCUCGAAAGCAUGGGUAGCGAACAGGAUUAGAUACCCGGGUAGUC
rnacentral:rRNA from 1 species